rnacentral:rRNA from 1 species
CCUACGGGAGGCAGCAGUGAGGGAUAGUGGUCAAUGGACGAGAGUCUGAACCAGCCAAGUAGCGUGAAGGAUGACUGCCCUAUGGGUUGUAAACUUCUUGUAUAUGGGAAUAAAAUGUUCCACGUGUGGGAUUUUGUAUGUACCAUAUGAAUAAGGAUCGGCUAACUCCGUGCCAGCAGCCGCGGUAAUACGGAGGAUCCGAGCGUUAUCCGGAUUUAUUGGGGUUAAAGGGAGCGUAGGUGGAUUGUUAAGUCAGUGGUGAAAGUUUGCGGCUCAACCGGAAAAUUGCCGUUGAAACUGGCCGUCUUGAGUCCAGUACAGGUGGGCGGCAUUCGUCGUGUCGCGG